AUAUUUAAUUUACCAAACUAUUGUAUCUACUAUGUACAAGUGGCAAAUAGUAACAAAUCCCAAUAUCCCGUUACUAUCUGGAAAGCAUGAUUGGGGGCGUAUCACUUCGGGAAUAAGUAGCCGACGAGGUGUUUGGUGGGCAUUGACCACGCGAGAUGCAGCGUCUACAUAUGCGAUGAAGGCAUGGUGGACAUUCUUCAAAGGUGUAGACAUCGCGGAGACUCCCAUUUUUUAGAGACUUGCAAGUGUUGCAGAUCAAUGCACUGCUCUCCUCUUACCCAAUUCAGACAACUCUCUGUAGGUUGUUCGUAACGGUUUAUGGACGUCUCGAUCAAGCUGAGCAGUGACUUAAGAGUAUGGAUUGAUUUCGGGUGUAGAUGCGAUUGCUUAGCAUUCAUCUGAGGCCGUCUUGAUUUGUCAACGUCGGCAUCGAAUCAUACAGUCGUGGAAAGUCCUUCAGGUACAAGAUAACGCGACAUAUUUCAUAAUAUAGGAGAAUAAUUGUCGCGGGAGUUGUCCCCACCUCCAAACCUUGAUCAUUUGUCGGUAAAUGCAAUGUUCAUGGGCAACCAAGAACAUUGGAAAGGAAGUCAUCUACUGUUGUGAUAUAUUUGUUCCCUACUUGGCGUGAAAAGGAGGAAUCGGAGUGUUGCUUAUUUAAACAACCGCAACGAUGAGGCAAACCGAGUACUCUUCAUUCUGGAGCAAAUCGGUGCAGGUCUCGCAAUACAUUGAUCACGGUGACGUUGAAGUGGGAAUUCGAUGCGGGGUGCAGCGGCAGCAAGGCAUCCUGGAAUGAUGCCCAGAAGAUUCAAGCGAUAUCACUUCUUACUUCACACGGAUUCGUUCGUCGGAUGUUGUGGGGGUUGCCGACUACGACUAUCGUAAGAGGACAGUAGCGAAAAACGGAAUAAGGAUCGAGACCACAGGCAACCGACGAUUGAUGUUGAGGAAUUACGACUCUCCACCUACACCUACUGGAACUGUUUUUGUACCGACAGUAGACCACAAGAUAGAACCACCACCACCACCACCAGACGCAUGAAUAGUGUUGUUUCUAGGAAUAAUAUGUUUGAAGGGAGUCAUGUAAAAAGCGUUUAAAAUAAUAAUUAUUAUUUUCAAAAUCAAUGUUUUUAUACUCCUCAGGAUGUGCACUGAUGUAGACUAAUAAAAAAUUAGUUUGGUA